ensembl:lncRNA
CUAUUCUCACGCUAUUCAAGGAUUACUUGAAUUUCAGUUCAGAUUCAGAUGUCUCAGGACUGUCUUUGACAAUAUCACAAGAACUUCAAACCCUACAGAAAUUUGCCAGAAUUUGGACUGUCUCAAAACAUGGACUGCCAAAGUUGUACUACAGAAUUUAGUCUCCUAAAGGGGAUCAGAUUCUGGAAGAUCUUUCCAAAAGAAGCUGUGGAGUCUACUGCAGAUACUCAAAAUCUUGAAGAGCUCCCUCUGCUUUAAACAGUGACAGUCCACAGUGAUACAAUGAAGACAGAGGAGUAAGAUUUAUCAACAGAGAGGAUCUCAGAAGAUUGGGAUUCACUUGAGGAAACACAUUUUGCUUCCAUCUAUAACAUGAGAGAUUUCCCACCUUACAUUUGCUCUCCAUUGUCCUUUGAGGUUGUGACUCACUGAAGCCGAUCUUUAAGUACAGGAUUUAUUCAGUGCAAGUGAUGGACUGAACUCUGUCAGAGGGCAAAAGAAAACUACCUGCAGGGAGCCAUGGCCAAAUGAGAUGGAC